rnacentral:rRNA from 1 species
CCUACGGGUGGCAGCAAUUAGGAAUCUUGCGCAAUGGGGGCAACCCUGACGCAGCGACACCGCGUGGAGGAUGAAGGUCUUCGGAUUCUAAACUCCUUUUAUAUGGGAAGAAUAGAUGACUGUACCAUAUGAAUAAGUACCUGCUAACUACGUGCCAGAAGCAUCGGUGAUGCGUAGGGUACAAACGUUAUCCGGAUUUACUGGGCGUAUAGAGAUGCGUAGGCGGUUUGAUAAGUCUUGAGGUAAAGACCUUGGCUCAACCGAGGGAGAGCUUUCGAAACUAUCAGACUUGAGACAUGAAGGGGUUAACGGAAUUCCGAGUGGAGUGGUGAAAUACGUUGAUAUUCGGAGGAACAUCGGAGGCGAAGGCGGUUCACUGGUCAUUGUCUGACGCUAAGGCUCGAAAGCGUGGGUAGCAAAAC